GAUUAAGGUCUCUCAAGAUGUUGUGCGUAAGUACGAAAAAUAUGUUUCACAUGGACGGAAAUUCAAGAGGAAGAAGAAGAAUGAAGUGUCCAAAGAGUUUCUGAAGAUUGGUCGAUUCUUUUGCUCGUACAAGUCCUUCAUUGGAGCUCUUCGUCCACGCCAAUAUUUGAGCAACGUUGUGAUGGCAGUUUGGACAGAGAAGUUCAAUCAUGCAGCAAAAGCAAGUGCUGAGAAGAAUCUCCGAAAUCACAAGAGAUAUGCUUUCUCUCCGUACUUUGCGGAAAAGCUUGCUGUAGAAACCUCUACUUUUGACCCUGCCUCUGUCAUGAAAGAGUUCAAAAUUGCAUGUAGCAAAUUCAAAAUUCUGAAAGAUGACAUGCUUUACCUGCCCAUUGUACAAGCCGAUCACUGGAUUGUAUGCUGCAUCAACUUGCUGUGCAAGCAAUUUCACAUUUUUGAUUCAAUGAUGCCAGAGAAUGGUGUGAGCACCUUAGCAAAAGCAGCAAACAACUUGGUAGCAAUUCCCACCUUUUUCUUAAUGUUUUGUUUCAACUAUUUUUGUCCUUACUAUCCCAUGCUGUUUGUUUUU